rnacentral:misc_RNA from 1 species
UACAGAGGGUGCAAGCGUUGUUCGGAGUUACUGGGCGUAAAGCGCACGUAGGCGGACAUUUAAGUCGGAUGUGAAAUCCCCGGGCUUAACCUGGGAACUGCACCCGAUACUGGAUGUCUAGAGUAUGGUAGAGGAAAGUGGAACUCCCGGUGUAGCGGUGAAAUGCGUAGAUAUCGGGAAGAACACCAGUGGCGAAGGCGACUUUCUGGAUCAAUACUGACGCUCAGGUGCGAAAGCGUGGGGAGCAAACAGG